AAUCAUGCAAAUUACCCGAUUCAUAAGGAUUUGUUCAAUUGAUGGUUUGAAAUAAUUGACAACAUAAAAUCCUGCAUAAGAUAAUAUAUUAUUUGGAUGGAUGCAUAACAAAAAAUUAUUGGUCACAUAACUAAAAUAUUAUGGGGGAUAGAAUGUGGAUAAGAACGCGUAUAUUGAUAAUUCGGAGAUUAAAUUAUUUAAAAACAAAUAUAUUCUUUUAAAACAAUUAAUUCACGUAUAAUGAAUGAUAAUCGCUGCAUAACAAUACUUCAUUAGAGAUCUUUUUAAUCUCAACAAAUGUGUGUGUGUUGGGUUGGGGGGGGUGGGGGGUUGUAUAGUUAGGGGCAGUGGAUUGAUUUGGGUCCAUUCCAUUUAUGUGUAUUGAAGGCUACUCACUGCAAGUAUUCUUGUCUAGCUUUUAACAAACUCUGGAAUGUGAAGUGUUAUGGAAUUUGUCCAAAUGCAGAGUUACAAAACUUUUGCCAUUCUAAGACAGAAAAAGCUUGCUAGGUCAAGUCAAUGAGAAAAAUAUUGAGGGCAAAUUACUACUUAUUAUGUAUUGAAAAACUUUAGGUGUCUGGCACAAUAUGCGGUGUUCGUUACAUUAACUAACCAUUCAGUGGACAAAAGGAAUAAGAUUACUUUUCGAAAUCGUCUUAGAUAAAUCUACAGAAUUCAACAAAGUGCUAGUACUUUUAAUUUUUUAUUUGUAUUUCACGUGUUUAUUCGAUUUUAAGCUAUAUCCAUUAAAAAUGUAAAAUUAUUUAAAAUUGAGUUAUUAUAACUUACUUUUCAAAUGAUUUGAUUGAAAAAUAUUUGUUACACACGUUGACUAACAAAAUAGACGCCCAACAAAUGGGAAUACACUGGGAAUGUUAUUGUUUUUUUAGAUUAAUUAGCCAUCUCCAAUCCUAGGAGCAUGACUUGCUUUUAUUCAUAACAUCAAUGGUCCAAAAGAAAAGGGAUAGCAACCCCCUUCACCUACUUUGAUGGAACAGGCUCCAUCUCAUCUAAGUAGGAUUUCAAAAAACUGUAAUCUAAGUUUGGGGAGAUGACUCAUCUCCUCAAUCCUAUCAGCAAAAAGAGAUCAAGAUACAUCGAACAGAUAAUUUUUAUACAUUGUUCUAUGCACAUAAAAUGAGUUUUUAACAGUAGACUUUCGGAAAGAGGGUAGUUUCAUCUUGUCCGCCUUGACCUCUUCUCUAGUAUUUUUUUGGUAGCUCCUGAAAGUUGUUCAUCCAUAAAUUGCCUCCACAGCUCAGACCCCAAUUAGUCAAGCUAUCAGCAGCUCUAUUACAUUCACUAAAACAGUUUUUUUUUUUUUUAAUAGUUUUCUCUUAUAUGGAUUCAGGAUUAUGCUGGAUAUGCUCUAUGAUAUUCACCAAGAUCCGUGGAGGCUUGGACUUAUUUAGUAUCCAAUCCACCAACAAUAUCACUUUCAAUCUCCAAGCUAUUUACACCAUUAUUCAUACACCACUCAAUUCCCAUUUUUAGUGAUAAGGCUUGUGCCAUAUUGUUUGUAAUGUUUCCCAAAUAAAAAGCAUACAUUGUGAUUAAAUCAUCUCUUUGGUCUAUAAUUAAACCACCAGCCCCACUUGGACCUGGAUUUUAUUUGGAGCAACCAUCAGAGUUCAUUUUCCAUAUGCCACGUGCAGGAAAAAUCCACCUUACAUCAACAGUGCUGAUCAAGGGUUGUGCAUGUUCACUGAUCUCCAGAAACUUGCUCCAUUCCAUAAAAGGUGGAAUGGUCUUGAAUUGCUUAUGUGUAAUCAUGAUUGUCUUCUUGAUGAGGAUUAUCCACUCCAAAAAUGGCACCAAUUGGUUUGAAAGUUUAUUUUGGUGGAGCACUUAUCCCUCUAUUCUGCUUUGGAGGAACACUUUUCCCCCUUUGAAGUUUAUCAAGGGCCAUGAUUGCAUAUGAAAUGGAAGUCCUUGUAAAACACCCAUACCGGAACAAUGGGAAUGUCCUCCUCUGGGUUGAAAUCUGGUGACCAUUUUUGAAGCCAAAUUCGGUAUCCAUCAAUGUGAAUUACUCGUUUGUAGAGAAUCACAUUGUAGUCAUCUUCAUUGUUGAAUGUCAGAAAAAUAUUUAAGUUAUCAAAAACCCCAAUUUCGACGGUUCCUUUCAGAGCAAAAGUUUCUUAGAAUUUUGACCUAAUCGUAUCAAUUUGGGGUCUUGUUUUUAGACAUCUCUCGACUAUAGUGCGUCUGUAGGGGUUGGUCAUCCUUCUGUAAUAUUCCCAAGUUCUGAAAAUCAGAGCCGACAUUCCAUUGUGAAUAGUCCUUCUUUCCAUCACCGGAGUUUGGUCGCUUCUAUUAGCCGGAUUUUGGGGCUCCGCUAGAGUGGUAGCAUAUGAACUACCUGCUAGGAGCUCCUCAUU